rnacentral:rRNA from 1 species
UACGAAGGGGGCUAGCGUUGCUCGGAAUUACUGGGCGUAAAGCGCACGUAGGCGGAUCUUUAAGUCAGGGGUGAAAUCCUGGAGCUCAACUCCAGAACUGCCUUUGAUACUGAGGACCUUGAGUUCGGGAGAGGUGAGUGGAACUGCGAGUGUAGAGGUGAAAUUCGUAGAUAUUCGCAAGAACACCAGUGACGAAGGCGGCUCACUGGCCCGAUACUGACGCUGAGGUGCGAAAGCGUGGGGAGCAAACAGG